GACGAACGCUGGCGGCGUGCCUAAUACAUGCAAGUCGAACGCAGUGGGGACGGUGUAGUAAGACGUGGGUAACCUCCCAUCAGAGGGGAUAACACUUGGAAACAGGUGCUAAACCGAUGCUGAUGUAUGAACCAGGGGUGCAUUAGCUAGUUGGUGAGGUAACGGCUCACCAAGGCCACGAGGCAUAUACGACCUGAGAGGGUGCUCGGCCACACUGGGACUGAGACACGGCCCAGACUCCUACGGGAGGCAGCAGUAGGGAAUAUUCGGCAAUGGACGAAAGUGUGACCGAGCAAUGCCGCGUGAGUGAAGAAGGUUUUCGGAUCGUAAAACUCUGGUGUUAGAGAAGCGGUAUCUAACCAGAAAGCCACGGCUAACUACGUGCCAGCAGCCGCGGUAAUAC
rnacentral:rRNA from 1 species